UGAUUUAAGUGCCUGUCCUUU
rnacentral:piRNA from 1 species